rnacentral:rRNA from 1 species
UACGAAGGGGGCUAGCGUUGCUCGGAAUUACUGGGCGUAAAGCGCGUGUAGGUGGCGAUGUAAGUCGGGUGUGAAAUCCCUCAGCUUAACUGAGGAAGUGCACUCGAUACUGUGUCGCUUGAGUGUUGGAGGGGAUGGCGGAAUUCCCGGUGUAGAGGUGAAAUUCGUAGAUAUCGGGAGGAACACCUGUGGCGAAGGCGGCCAUCUGGACAACUACUGACACUGAGACGCGAAAGCGUGGGUAGCAAACAGG